AUGAACGCUAGCUACAGGCUUAACACAUGCAAGUCGAGGGGCAGCAUGGUCUUAGCUUGCUAAGGCCGAUGGCGACCGGCGCACGGGUGAGUAACACGUAUCCAACCUGCCGUCUACUCUUGGACAGCCUUCUGAAAGGAAGAUUAAUACAAGAUGGCAUCAUGAGUCCGCAUGUUCACAUGAUUAAAGGUAUUCCGGUAGACGAUGGGGAUGCGUUCCAUUAGAUAGUAGGCGGGGUAACGGCCCACCUAGUCUUCGAUGGAUAGGGGUUCUGAGAGGAAGGUCCCCCACAUUGGAACUGAGACACGGUCCAAACUCCUACGGGAGGCAGCAGUGAGGAAUAUUGGUCAAUGGGCGAGAGCCUGAACCAGCCAAGUAGCGUGAAGGAUGACUGCCCUAUGGGUUGUAAACUUCUUUUAUAAAGGAAUAAAGUCGGGUAUGGAUACCCGUUUGCAUGUACUUUAUGAAUAAGGAUCGGCUAACUCCGUGCCAGCAGCCGCGGUAAUACGGAGGAUCCGAGCGUUAUCCGGAUUUAUAGGGGUUAAAGGGAGCGUAGAUGGAUGUUGAAGUAAGUUGUGAAAGUGUGCGGCUCAAACGGAAAAUUGCAGUUGAUACUGGAUAUCUUGAGUGCAGUUGAGGCAGGCGGAAUUCGUGGUGUAGCGGUGAAAUGCUUAGAUAUCACGAAGAACUCCGAUUGCGAAGGCAGCCUGCUAAGCUGCAACUGACAUUGAGGCUCGAAAGUGUGGGUAUCAAACAGGAUUAGAUACCCUGGUAGUCCACACGGUAAACGAUGAAUACUCGCUGUUUGCGAUAUACAGCAAGCGGCCAAGCGAAAGCGUUAAGUAUUCCACCUGGGGAGUACGCCGGCAACGGUGAAACUCAAAGGAAUUGACGGGGGCCCGCACAAGCGGAGGAACAUGUGGUUUAAUUCGAUGAUACGCGAGGAACCUUACCCGGGCUUAAAUUGCAGAUGAAUUACGGUGAAAGCCGUAAGCCGCAAGGCAUCUGUGAAGGUGCUGCAUGGUUGUCGUCAGCUCGUGCCGUGAGGUGUCGGCUUAAGUGCCAUAACGAGCGCAACCCUUGUUGUCAGUUACUAACAGGUUCCGCUGAGGACUCUGACAAGACUGCCAUCGUAAGAUGUGAGGAAGGUGGGGAUGACGUCAAAUCAGCACGGCCCUUACGUCCGGGGCUACACACGUGUUACAAUGGGGGGUACAGAGGGCCGCUACCACGCGAGUGGAUGCCAAUCCCAAAAACCUCUCUCAGUUCGGACUGGAGUCUGCAACCCGACUCCACGAAGCUGGAUUCGCUAGUAAUCGCGCAUCAGCCACGGCGCGGUGAAUACGUUCCCGGGCCUUGUACACACCGCCCGUCAAGCCAUGGGAGCCGGGGGUACCUGAAGUGCGUAACCGCGAGGAGCGCCCUAGGGUAAAACUGGUGACUGGGGCU
rnacentral:rRNA from 1 species